GACGAACGCUGUCGGCGUGCUUAACACAUGCAAGUCGAACGGAAAGGCCCUGCUUUUGUGGGGUGCUCGAGUGGCGAACGGGUGAGUAACACGUGAGUAACCUGCCCUUGACUUUGGGAUAACUUCAGGAAACUGGGGCUAAUACCGGAUAGGAGCUCCUGCUGCAUGGUGGGGGUUGGAAAGUUUCGGCGGUUGGGGAUGGACUCGCGGCUUAUCAGCUUGUUGGUGGGGUAGCGGCUUACCAAGGCUUUGACGGGUAGCCGGCCUGAGAGGGUGACCGGCCACAUUGGGACUGAGAUACGGCCCAGACUCCUACGGGAGGCAGCAGUGGGGAAUAUUGCACAAUGGGCGGAAGCCUGAUGCAGCAACGCCGCGUGCGGGAUGACGGCCUUCGGGUUGUAAACCGCUUUCGCCUGUGACGAAGCGUGAGUGACGGUAAUGGGUAAAGAAGCACCGGCUAACUACGUG
rnacentral:rRNA from 1 species